CUGAAUUGAAGUCGGAUGCUUCACUGACUGAGCCACCCAGGUGCCCCUGAAUUUUCUAUUUAUUAUUAGGUGACCUUAGUGGAAGCCCAUUGUUCUACUUAACAAUUAUACCCUUUGCCUCCAAAUUAGAGAUCAUAAAUACACUUUUUUUUUUUUUAAUCUUAGAAGAAAGCUGUUAGGAUGGAAAUAAUACCUGCAUGCAUGUAUUGCUUCGGGUAACAUGACAUAGAAGUGUGAGUAGCAUUUGUUAUUAAUAUGCUGCUGGAUUAUAGAACCGUUACAUUAAUUUGAAAGUGAAUGCCAAGUGAGAGGGUCAGACCAGGAAUAGAAAAGAAGCACCUUCAUCCCUACCCUCUUUUGCCUUACGCAUUGCAGGCAUCACCAAUGGAUAGCAGAACUCUUCAUCCUGGAGGCCACACUUCGUUUCAGACUCCUUCUCAAGCAGUCAUGAACCACGGUUGAUGAUUAAUCAAGCCGUCACUCAUCGGGUUAAACUAUUAAUCAGAGCUGGAUCAAGAGAUAAAACCCAGGUGUUGUUUUUAACACUAGAGCCCGUGACCUAUGAAGGAAGCCACGAGUAAGGAAGAAUCUCGUUAGUGGUCAGAAGUCCACAGACAAAUGCCCAUUUCGCUGUCAACAGCACCUAUGUUGUUCCAUUCACUGUCUUCCUUCGUAAUGGUGGGAUUUUGUCUGGGCACACAGUUCCUCAGAAUCAAAAUGGAAUAUUCUGUUCUCUUCUCUGCAGCUGGAUGUGGCGAUGGGAGGAGGGGUUUCGGCCAGUGGGACAGAAGCCACUAUGUUCAGUGGCAGUUUCUGGGAACCCUUCUCAGGAGGCAGUCACACCAGCUCUUUGCCUCUUCUCUUCGUCUCUUCCCACAUUCUGUGGUUGGCGUGCGGACUCGCCCCGAGGAGCCAUGACAAAACAGUGAACUGGGGGAACACUCUGCUUCUCUCUUGUUUAAGACACCAUUCGACAGUCAGGGCAAUCCGGUGAGAGUCUUCCAUUCCCCCUGCUGGUUUGUUUAUUUAACCCCCCCUCAUGGGGAGUUCCAAGCACCUUCAGAUAUUAAGGCAAAACACAUUUACUGUAGGCAUAGAAAGGCCAACAGAAAGACUUUUGUAUACUUUUCCAGGUUGGAAAAACAUGGCAUGUUGACGUCCACUGGGACAGUUGCCAUAAGCAGCAGCAGGAAUGUGAUGAGGUAAUGGAACGAUGCAUUGGGCAACUGGGAUGUUGGAUUUUGACUUGGGCCCUGUGGUAACAGCUCAUGAUUCCUACCUAGCUUCUUGCAGUAAAUGAAAAUGUGAUGGAGGUUACUACCGAACGCAGAAAGGAAGAAAAAGUGGGAAGUGGUUUAGGAGACGCGAGGCUGCAAGAACUGUUUUGCAACGUGUGAAGAGCAAACAGAGGGGCAACAACUCCAGUGUCACUGAACACAACCCAGUUCUCCAGCCACCCGGGACUGUUCUGAAACUAACCAGAACUGUGAACUCCUGUGACAGGCAGUUGACUGGAAGAUGGGCCAGGAGAAAGGCAGGUGUGGGCUGUUUUGCAUUAUGAGUGAACAUUGCAUGCUUUUGCCAUACCCUUGGACUGAUGGACUGUCAGGACUGUAAGGGAACCUGAAAUUCAGCUGGUCUAACUAACUACAUUGUGUACUUACUGGUGUGGAAAUUGAGUCUCCAGGAGAUGGCCUGAAUUGCUUCUAUUCACAGAGCUACUCUAGGGCAAAUCCAGACGCUGGAGUCCAAGAACAUUCUUGACUGCCUGUUUAUUAAAGCAUUGUUCUACACUCUUC